AAGCGAAAUUGACUGACGUGAAGCUGCCAUUAUUUGAAAGCUCAAUUCGGAUGUAAGCAUAGAAAACCAAACCCGAACAAAUUAUUUGGUCAUCAUUUAUCUAUUACAGUAAUCAGAUUACAUGAAUAUUAUUCCUUGAAAGUUUGAUUAAACUUUUAUCCGUAAGUUUUGUAAGUUUCAUUUUGUUACUAUCUUAAGCCUCAUCAUAAUCUCCGAAUAAAUUUCACUUUUUAAAAGAAGUAUAAAAACACAUGAUGAGAACUUAUCAAUUCACAUCUUUGUAUAUCAAUCUGGCAUAAUUACUGUCAACAACCGUGAUGACAGCCGCCAGGGAGUAAUUCAACAUAACCGUUUUAAAAACAACUAUAUAUCCCCUACGGGGACCGAUCAGUGGCUUCAAUAUAAGCGAUAUUUCAAAAUAGCCGAUUUCAGUAUAUCCGUUAAAUCAAUGCAAAGAAACUGAGAGGCAAAAACGGGGGAUUUAUUUCUAUUUCAAAAUAAGCGGAAUUCGAUAAUAAGCGAUUUCAAUAUAAGUGGAGUAGGCUGUAUUCAUGUCAAUACUUUGUGGAAUUUAUGGAUUCCUAUCUGGAUUACUUUAACUCGACAAAACAUUUUAAAUUUUUCAAAUGAUGUGUUGUUGUUGUUGUUGUUAAAAUGACAAAAGAUAUGAUACAUUAUCUAAAAUAUACUUUAAGACAUUUUCAGAGAUGUUUUUUCCACUAAUUUAAUCGGAUUACAUGUAUAGUGUAGAAUAUCAUUUUAAAAAAAUGAUUUUUAUAUAUGAAACUUAGGUGAAAAUCAGUGAUUAGUUUUCUUUCUUUUACCUUUAAAGGGGAGCAGUUCUCCAGGCACCAUGGGGAGGCUCAUGAAGGAACGGUGUUCAAUCCAUACAAAGCGUUCCAACAUUGGACACACUUACCUGACUUUAGAGAGGGCUUGGUACAUAUGCGGUGACUCCACCUCUUACACACUUCACACUCAACCCAAACAAUCUUUCGAGACUUUCCAGGAGCAUUGUAAUCACCACAUAUGCAACAAGUGACUUCAUCGUCAGACUCCUCAACGAAGCCCAUGGAUUCGUCAGAGUCAGAGUCAUUUUCGUCAUCACCAGAAUCUGUGUCCAUGUCACUGUCACUGUCUUCCGAGUCCGUCAAGUCUAUGACCACAGGAGCAACCUCCUCAUCCUGGACUCCGUCGAGUUUCCACAGUUUUUCUUCGACCUCUCUUAUCACGUGACUCUCCACCUUGCGCCACUUCUCAACCCCAUAAGCUGAUCUAGCCUGAAUAAAGAGUUCCUUCACUUUCUCUUUCUUAAAUGUGGCAUUGCUCCUGGCGACGAAACUUUUUAAUUCAGCCCAGACCAACUCGAUAGGAUUAAGCUCACAAUGAUAGGGAGGUAGACGCAAAACUGUGUGACCUGACUGUGAAGCCAAAUCGUCUAUCACAUAUUUAGGACGAGGCUUAUGCUGCUUCACCAAUGUGACCAAUUCAGCCUUGAUCAUUCGCGGAUUGUAAUGGAUACCCUUUCUAUCAAGCCAAGACUGGAUCUCAGCCUUCGGUGCCGAGGAAGUUGGACACCUGGACUCAGGAUCCAGAUGACUGUGAUAGGAAGCAUUAUCCAUCACGAUGACUGAAUUAGCCGGUAGGUUAGGGAGCAACUGCUCAGUGAACCACUUUGUGAAGUUUUCCGAGUUCAUCUCGUCGUGAUAAUCCUGGUUGCCUGUUUUCGACUCGAAAAUGAGGGCAGAUCCCGGGAUCAUACCCACAGCCGAAGAACCUGCAUCCACAAUUAUCAGACGAGAGCCUUUCCCAGAUGGGACAAAACGCCCAUGACCUCCACGAUGUGACUCAAAGGCAGAGGUAGAUGUCCUAGGACAGUCCACCCAAUCUCCCCUCGCUACAUGAUUGGUGUUCAACCAAGUCUCAUCCAAAUACACAAUAGGACGACCCUCCUCUCUAAACUUCCUAAUGGACCUCAGAGAGCAUGCGAAUCUUCAUCUUUGCAUGAUGACAAAGUGCUUACUUGAACCCAAGAUCCUUCACAAGUCUCCCCAGUGGUGUCUUAGUGAUCCUGACUCCCCUUUCUACUAGAACAUCUGACAGUCGACGAAGGGAAACGUACUGGCCCUUCAACUGCAUAUCAUGAAUGGUCCUCUUCACCAAGUCUUCAUCGAAGUCAUCAAGCUUUCUACUGGGACCGCGUUUCUUCUUUGGAGCUAGAACUUGCAUGUCCUCCACCACCAUUUCGACCGGAUCAGGAUCUACUUUCCCCUUCAAUGUUUUCUCAGAUAUUCCUAAAUAUGUAGAAAUAGAUUUCAGUAAUCAUGGUAGAUAUAUAUUUAUUAGUACCGUGUACCAAAAUACAGUUGAUUUAUAUAGAUGCAAAAUAAUUUGUAAAAUUAAAAGUACUUUACUUUAAUGUUAGAUAUUUUUAUUACAGAAAUAAAGUUGUCUAUUCGAAACAAAAUCAUUGUUACCGGUAGCCACUGAUAAUCUCUUCAGAGGAUUUUGUAUGUGUUUGACCCUUCCCUCCUGACUUUCUAUGGAGAACUGUUUAUAAAUCUUUGUUAAAAGGUCUACAACCUGGAGAAGACAUUUGUUAUUAAUUUUAUGCAACUGUUCAAUCUCAUAUAUAACUGAAACAUUUGCAAGACAAGUACAUCUGAUCAAGUUUAGCUCAUUAAACUGAAAAUUCCGUUGACUUAUGGAAUAAAUGAAUGUCAAUCAAUACAACAAUCUAAUUUAAAAUUAAUAUUUUAAGGUCACUGUAAAUGUAGGGCGUAUUCCAAUACAUUUCAUCAAUGACUAUUUUAAUAUUAUUUAAUCAUACAAUUGCUGAAAAUCAAAAUAUAUGUAAAUAUAAGUAAUGAUAAUAUUGAGGAAUCAUUCUUUUGAUAAUAUAGGGUGAUCAAAAUACAGUCAGACAUGAACAAAUUUAUCAUCUAAGCCCUUUAGGUAUUUUAUUUUUUAGGUCUGUCUUUUUCAUUUUACUUAAGUGUAUAUGAUAUAUUUAUAUUUAUCACAUGUUUAGCUCAAUGUAUGGUGGAUAUCACUCAUGUAAUAAAUUUUGUGUUUUAUUCCACUGUGUGUUCUUACACCACGUGACGUCAUAAAUAAACAUUACGUAGCUUCAGGUGGAUGAUUGACAUAGAAUAAAUUUUUUUACAAAAACAUUCAUUUGAAAAGUGUAGAAAUAUGGAUGUGGCGCAAACAAAGCUGUUUCAUUUUUUCAUAAAUUGAUAUAAAUAUGUUAGAAAAUGAUAUGCUUGUUUAUUAUUCUACAAUGAUUUUUUUUUGUCAUGCAUAGAUUUGCAUCUUAUAGUAAAUGUGUUGUGCAGCUCACAAUUAAAAUAUUUACAGAAAAGAUAACGGUUUAACAAAAG